CGAAUAAAUAUCAUUGGACAUGGACCAAGUUUUUCUUUCAGUGUGCAUGCUCACCGCUUCGCACAAACGAUUCGUUUCUUAGGGACAUUCGAACCUGUAGAAAAUUCAUCUUUGAAGAACAAUCGAUGGAGGUGGGAUACUAAAAAAUGCUGCAACGGAUGAAGCAGACAGCUAACGAACAUCUAUUCUCCUCUUGAUCAUCUGGGACGACUGUGAGAAACGAGGACGACGAUGAAAGCUGCAUUGCUUUGGAAUCUCAACGCAGUUUCAAGGACGAAGAAGCAAAACGAGGUGAAUUUUCCCCUUUCAGGAUGGAUAUCAAUCAGGUUACUUCGGAGCACUUCCUGAAGAGACUUUUACCGACAUCCUCUUCUACUGAUGUCCGGAUACUACGACGUGUGAGACUGCUGAGACUGUGACAGCUUGCUGGAACUUUUGUGAUGGCUAGACGCGUGUUUCUCCUGAAAAUACAAAGAGAACUGUGGUACUCCAAUCCUCAAAAGAAAUUGUUUUAAAAAACUAAUAAUAAAUUGAUCGAUAUUUAUCCAGUUUCGUCGAAAUAAAAUCAAGUAAAUUCUCUAUUUCCUUGGUAGAAUGUUUUAGAAUUA